AUUGAACGCUGGCGGCAUGCCUUACACAUGCAAGUCGAACGGCAGCAUGGAGAGCUUGCUCUCUGAUGGCGAGUGGCGAACGGGUGAGUAAUGCACCGGAACGUACCGUGUAAUGGGGGAUAACGUAGCGAAAGUUACGCUAAUACCGCAUACGACCUGAGGGUGAAAGCAGGGGAUCGCAAGACCUUGCGUUAUACGAGCGGCCGAUGUCAGAUUAGCUAGUUGGUGAGGUAAAGGCUCACCAAGGCGACGAUCUGUAGCGGGUCUGAGAGGAUGAGCCGCCACAAUGGGACUGAGACACGGCCCAGACUCCUCCGGGAGGCAGCAGUGGGGAAUUUUGGACAAUGGGGGCAACCCUGAUCCAGCCAUGCCGCGUGAGUGAAGAAGGCCUUCGGGUUGUAAAGCUCUUUCGGCCGGGAAGAAAUCGCACAGGCUAAUACUCUGUGUGGAUGACGGUACCGGCAUAAGAAGCACCGGCUAACUACGUGCCAGCCGCCGCAGUAA
rnacentral:rRNA from 1 species